UCAAGGCGUUGGAUGAAGCUCAACAAGCAUAAGAUGAUCAUGAGUUGUUAGAUGCCAAUCAAUAUUUUCAUCGUCGCUUCAAUUUGUUGGAUGUUACAUCAAGUGUGCUACAACCAAAGAAGUCAUCAAUCAUACACUUCGAACCUCAGAUAAAAUGCAAACACUAACCCGAAUCCAAGUUAGAUAUGAAAAGUUUGUGGAAACUUUUAAAAUUGUAUGUAUAUAUUUAUUUUAAAUGGAAAAUAAGCUACAAGUUUAUGUCAAACAUGUCAAUGUCCAAAAUAACUUUAUGUAACAAUUGAAAUUAUAUGUAUUCCUAUAUAGAACUUUUGUUUUAUAGUCUACGAACUGUCAAAACCAAAAUUAAAAAUAACAAUAACUUGAAAAUUAAAAAUUUGUAUUAAAUCAUGAAAUAAAUAUUUUUGUUCAACUCUUUAGAUGCUAAAAAAUUUCGUAGUCAAAAAUUGUGCAGUGAAAUCAAAAGUUUGUUUUUAUUUGAAUUCAAUUUAUUUUGAAUCACUUCAUUUUUAGUUGAUUAACAUGUAAUUCUUCUUUUAAAAAAAAAUAUUAACUAUCUGCGUCGUCUCAAUCAAUACCAUGGUAAAAUUUGCCAGCGCCAUCUACAUGAUGGUACUUUCCUUCGCAAAGAAGUGUACCGUCACUAUGCAGAUAGUGGAGAAAACACUGCUUAUUUAUAUCUAGUUCACUAUUAUAAUAGUAAAGUUGAUAUGAACAUGGAGGAAGAGGAAUAGUAACUACUUUUUAGAGUAACAAUAACUAUCUUUUAUUUUUUGUUUUAAAAACUGUGGUUGUAUUUUUUAAUAAUUGUUUUAAGACAUAAUUCAAUGUCUCUAAUUUAGAAUCAAAGAAUACUAUUAGAGCACGAUUAUCGGCGUCUCUUAUGUGAGUAUUUAGGUAUAAUUCUGAUUAAAAAUAAAAGGAAAAAAUGAUUUAACUUAAGCGACGUCUCCUAAUUAAGCGUCACAAGAGACGGUUCUUCUUGGACACGCGUCACUUGAUGGGGAAAGGGAGGAAAAACCGAGGGCUGGGCAUCGACUCCCCAUGAUGCGGAAUCGAAACGGAAAGCUUCUCAUGGCAAUGGUUCAUGUAUCUCCCGUACGCAGACGACGGCGAGUUCGGCGGGGAAGGCGAGAACGGAGAUUUCAGAGAUCGAUCGCUGCUUGAAGACGACGGCGAUCCCUGUCUAUGAGGAGAUAGAACGGCUCGGAUCUUGGCUCUGGAGACGCGAUCGUACCUUUAUCAAAUUGUACAAUGGAGAUUCCCUGGUAGGGAAGAAGGUGAGAAUCUAGUUGUGGCUGUUGAUGACGAUGGGUUGUUCACUGAGAGAAUUACCCAUUUCAGUGUCGGUAUGUCAAAGAUGCAGACAAGGAUAUAAUUGAAGCCGUGAAGGCCAAAGGCAGGCUUGUUAAACCGGGGAGCUUUGUUCACUCAUAUCCAUUUUGCUGGCGAUCAGACACUCCUCUCAUAUAUAGAGCCGUUCCCAGUUGGUUUGUGCAAGUGGAGCUGUUGAAGGAGCAGUUGCUAGAAAACAAUAAACAGACACACUGGAUACCUGAUUAUGUGAAGGUCACUGAAGAAAGAUCAAUGAUCUAUAUAUAUAUUACAAGUAUAGCAGUUUUAGAGAAUGACGUGAAUACAUUUUUCAUGAUACCUUCUUCUUGAUUGACCUGCAACUCAUUUGUAUCUUUGGCUCUCAAUUUGUUCUUCUUGUCACAUCUUAAAGAAGAAUCAUCUCAUGGAGUAACAUGUUCAUCUCAUUAAACAAUGUUUAAGUUUUGUUUUUAAGAACCCCUAAAUAAGAGACUCCCAUUGGAGCACAAAAAUGUUGGUGUCUUUUAAUUUGGUCUCUUAAGCAACAUUUAAUACUUUAAAAUUAUUAAAAGACCUAAAAUAGGUAUUUGGGUUAAUGAUGAUCUUAGUUUACAACUAUAUUUUGACAUUGUGAAGUAUAUGUAAUCAUUGCUUCUUGAGACGGAUUUCUAGGUCGUUAAAAAAAAAAAUUCACAAAAAAGAAAAAAAAUUAACCAUUGCCAAACUAGACAAACUCUUUAAAAGACGGACCCCUUAAAAGA